rnacentral:rRNA from 1 species
GACGGAGGGCGCAAGCGUUGUCCGGAAUUAUUGGGCGUAAAGAGCUCGUAGGCGGUUUGUUGCGUCGGCUGUGAAAUCCCGAGGCUCAACCUCGGGUCUGCAGUCGAUACGAGCAAACUAGAGUGUUGCAGGGGAGACUGGAAUUCCUGGUGUAGCGGUGAAAUGCGCAGAUAUCAGGAGGAACACCGGUGGCGAAGGCGGGUCUCUGGGCAACAACUGACGCUGAGGAGCGAAAGCGUGGGGAGCGAACAGG